rnacentral:precursor_RNA from 14 species
CGUUAUUAGGUCUCUCUGGCUCUGAUUAGAAGGUCAGGACUUGCGCAAUGUUGGUCAGACUGGCAAAUAUUGCACUCGUCCCGGCCUGCUAGUUUGGGUACUUGGCAUCGUAAGGCAAU